rnacentral:rRNA from 1 species
CCUACGGGAUGCAGCAGUGUGGAAUAUUGCACAAUGGGCGCAAGCCUGAUGCAGCCAUGCCGCGUGUAUGAAGAAGGCCUUCGGGUUGUAAAGUACUUUCAGCGGGGAUGAAGGUGUUGUGGUUAAUAACCACAGCAAUUGACGUUACCCGCAGAAGAAGCACAGGUUAACUCCGUGCCAGCAGCCGCGGUAAUACGGAGGGUGCAACGUUAAUCGGAAUUACUGGGCGUAAAGCGCACGCAGGCGGUCUGUCAAGUCGGAUGUGAAAUCCCCGGGCUCAACCUGGGAACUGCAUUCGAAACUGGCAGGCUAGAGUCUUGUAGAGGGGGGUAGAAUUCCAGGUGUAGCGGUGAAAUGCGUAGAGAUCUGGAGGAGUACCGGUGGCGAAGGCGGCCCCCUGGACAAAGACUGACGCUCAGGUGCGAAAGCGUGGGGAGCAAACAGGAUUAGAUACCCGCGUAGUC